GACGAACGCUGGCGGCGUGCUUAACACAUGCAAGUCGAGCGGAAAGGCCACUUCGGUGGUACUCGAGCGGCGAACGGGUGAGUAACACGUGAGUAAUCUGCCCCUGGCUUUGGGAUAGCCACCGGAAACGGUGAUUAAUACCGGAUACGACCACUUCUCGCAUGGGAUGGUGGUGGAAAGUUUUUUCGGCCAGGGAUGUGCUCGCGGCCUAUCAGCUUGAUGGUGAGGUAAUGGCUCACCAUGGCUUCGACGGGUAGCCGGCCUGAGAGGGUGCCCGGUCCCACUGGGCCUGAGACACGGCCCGCACUCCUACGGGAGGCAGCAGUGGGGAAUAUUGGACAAUGGGCGGAAGCCUGAUCCAGCAACGCCGCGUGAGGGAUUACGGCCUUCGGGUUGUAAACCUCUUUCAGCAGGGACGAAGCGCAAGUGCCGGUACCUGCAGAAGAAGCACCGGCCAACUACGUGCCAGCAGCCGCCGUAA
rnacentral:rRNA from 1 species